rnacentral:rRNA from 1 species
UACGGGGGGGGCAAGCGUUGUUCGGAAUUACUGGGCGUAAAGGGCUCGUAGGCGGCCAACUAAGUCGGAUGUGAAAUCCCCAGGCUCAACUUGGGAACUGCAUCCGAUACUGGAUGGCUUGAAUUCGGGAGAGGGAUGCGGAAUUCCAGGUGUAGCGGUGAAAUGCGUAGAUAUCUGGAGGAACACCGGUGGCGAAGGCGGCAUCCUGGACCGACACUGACGCUGAGGAGCGAAAGCCAGGGGAGCAAACGGG